CGUGUAGGCGGAUACGCAAGUCGGGUGUGAAAGCCCCGGGCUCAACCUGGGAACUGCAUUCGAAAACUGCGUAUCUCGAGUACUGGAGAGGGAAGCGGAAUUCCCGGUGUAGAGGUGAAAUUCGUAGAUAUCGGGAGGAACACCAGUGGCGAAGGCGGCUUCCUGGACAGUCACUGACGCUGAGACGCGAAAGCGUGGGGAGCAAACA
rnacentral:rRNA from 1 species